UACGUAGGUGGCAAGCGUUAUCCGGAUUAUUGGGUGUAAAGGGCGUGUAGGCGGGAGCGCAAGUCAGAUGUGAAAACUCAGGGCUCAACCCUGAGCCUGCAUUUGAAACUGUGUUUCUUGAGUGCUGGAGAGGCAAUCGGAAUUCCGUGUGUAGCGGUGAAAUGCGUAGAUAUACGGAGGAACACCAGUGGCGAAGGCGGAUUGCUGGACAGUAACUGACGCUGAGGCGCGAAAGCGUGGGGAGCAAACAGG
rnacentral:rRNA from 1 species